rnacentral:rRNA from 1 species
GACAGAGGAUGCAAGCGUUAUCCGGAAUGAUGGGGCGUAAAGCGUCUGUAGGUGGCUUUUUAAGUCUGCCGUCAAAUCCCAGGGCUUAACCCUGGACAGGCGGUGGAAACUACCAAGCUGGAGUACGGUAGGGGCAGAGGGAAUUUCCGGUGGAGCGGUGAAAUGCGUAGAGAUCGGAAAGAACACCAACGGCGAAGGCACUCUGCUGGGCCGGCACUGACACUGAGAGACGAAAGCUAGGGGAGCAAAUGGG